GACGAACGCUGGCGGCGUGCCUAAUACAUGCAAGUAGAACGCACAGUUUAUACCGUAGCUUGCUACACCAUAAACUGUGAGUUGCGAACGGGUGAGUAACGCGUAGGUAACCUGCCUGGUAGCGGGGGAUAACUAUUGGAAACGAUAGCUAAUACCGCAUAAUAUUGAUUAUUGCAUGAUAAUUGAUUGAAAGAUGCUAUUGCAUCACUACCAGAUGGACCUGCGUUGUAUUAGCUAGUAGGUGAGGUAACGGCUCACCUAGGCGACGAUACAUAGCCGACCUGAGAGGGUGGGCGGCCACACUGAGACUGAGACACGGCCCAGACUCCUACAGGAGGCAGCAGUAGGGAAUCUUCGGCAAUGGGCGAAAGUCUGACCGAGCAACGCCGCGUGAGUGAAGAAGGUUUUCGGAUCGUAAAGCUCUGUUGUAAGAGAAGAACGGGUGUGAGAGUGGAAAGUUCACACUGUGACGGUAUCUUACCAGAAAGGGACGGCUAACUACGUG
rnacentral:rRNA from 1 species